CAGUGGCCUCCACGCCGUCGCAGCUGUCGCCCUCCGAGCUGGGCGCCGCCCGGCCGCUGCGGGCCGAGCGAAGGCUGGGUGAGUUCAUCAGUGAAACUGCCUGAUAACCGCUGCAUCCAUCAGGACUUCAGGAGAGAGGACCAAUUAUUGGAUAGUGGCCAAAGUGACAAUUUUAAUCUCUGAGCCACAGAAGGUGUACCACUGAAUUUGCUAGUGCUAAAAUGCACAAAAGAGGCAUCCCCACAAUGACCGCAGACUACAGUGUGACGGGUAUGACUGUCAGAAGACCAGCAAGACAAGCAGCAAACUGAGAAACCCGAGGAAUGAAGAGAACUGGCUGGGUGCGAACUAAUCAAACUAAUUUGGAAGAUAACAUGGCAGAAGACCCCGAGAAAGCACUGCAAAA
rnacentral:lncRNA from 1 species